AGCGUAGACGGUGUGGCAAGUCUGAUGUGAAAGGCAUGGGCUCAACCCGUGGACUGCAUUGGAAACUGUCAUACUUGAGUGCCGGAGGGGUAAGCGGAAUUCCUAGUGUAGCGGUGAAAUGCGUAGAUAUUAGGAGGAACACCAGUGGCGAAGGCGGCUUACUGGACGGUAACUGACGUUGAGGCUCGAAAGCGUGGGGAGCAAACA
rnacentral:rRNA from 1 species